GACGUAGGGCGCGAGCGUUUGUCCGGAUUUAUUGGGUGUAAAGAGCUCGUAGGCGGCUUGUUGCGUCGGCUGUGAAAUCCCGUGGCUUAACUGCGGGCUUGCAGCUGAUACGGGCGGGCUGGAGUUCGGUAGGGGAGACUGGAAUUCCUGGUGUGAGCGGUGAAAUGCGCAGAUAUCAGGAGGAACACCGGUGGCGAAGGCGGGUCUCUGGGCCGAUACUGACGCUGGAGGAAGCGAAAGCGUGGGGAGCGAACAGG
rnacentral:rRNA from 1 species